UACGUAGGUGACAAGCGUUGUCCGGAUUUACUGGGCGUAAAGAGCUCGUAGGCGGUUUGUUGCGUCCGUCGUGAAAGCCCACAGCUUAACUGUGGGUCUGCGGUGGAUACGGGCAGACUAGAGGCAGGUAGGGGAGAACGGAAUUCCCGGUGUAGCGGUGAAAUGCGCAGAUAUCGGGAGGAACACCGGUGGCGAAGGCGGUUCUCUGGGCCUGUACUGACGCUGAGGAGCGAAAGCGUGGGGAGCGAACAGG
rnacentral:rRNA from 1 species